rnacentral:lncRNA from 1 species
UCCGCGGGACUCGGAAUGGCACCAGACUUGGCGGGCGGCCUCCGUGUGCCAAAAAUAGGCCACGGGCACAGCCGCGCCGAAAAAACAGCCCCCGAAGUUCGGGGUCCCAAGACCCCCCAGCGGAAAAAUGGCCAAAAAACGGGUGGGCUAUAGCCUUGGUGGGGGGCGUGGGCGAAGUUCGUCCGCGGGACUCGGAAUGGCACCAGACUUGGCGGGCGGCCUCCGUGUGCCAAAAAUAGGCCACGGGCACAGCCGCGUCCAAAAAACAGCCCCCGAAGUUCGGGGUCCCAAGAUCCCCCAGCGGAAAAAUGGCCAAAAAACGGUGGGCUAUAGCCUUGGUGGGGGGCGUGGGCGAAGUUCGUCCGCGGGACUCGGAAUGGCACCAGACUUGGCGGGCGGCCUCCGUGUGCCAAAUAUAGGCCAGGGGCACAGCCGCGCCCAUAAAAACAACCCCCGAAGUUCGGGGUCCCAAGACCCCCCAGCGGAAAAAUGGCCAAAAAACGGUGGGCUAAAGCCUUGGUGGGGUGCGUGGGCGAAGUUCGUCCGCGGGACUCGGAAUGGCACCAGACUUGGCGGGCGGCCUCCGUGUGCCAAAAAUAGGCCACGGGCACAGCCGCGCCCAAAAAACAGCCCCCGAAGUUCGGGGUCCCAAGACCCCCCAGCGGAAAAAUGGCCAAAAAACGGGUGGGCUAUAGCCUUGUUGGGGGGCGUGGGCGAAGUUCGUCCGCGGGACUUGGAAUGGCACCAGACAUGGCGGGCGGCCUCCGUGUGCCAAAAAUAGGCCACGGGCACAGCCGCGCCCAAAAAACAGCCCCCGAAUUUCGGGGUCCCAAGACCCCCCAGCGGAAAAAUGGCCAAAAAACGGGUGAGCUAUAGCCUUGGUGGGGGGCGUGGGCGAAGUUCGUCCGCGGGACUCGGAAGUGCACCAGACUUGGCGGGCGGCCUCCGUGUGCCAAAAAUAGGCCACGGGCACAGCCGCGCCCAAAAAACAGUCCCCAAAGUUCGGGGUCCCAAGACCCCCCAGCGGAAAAAUGGCCAAAAAACGGGAGGGCUAUAGCCUUGGAGGGGGGCGUGGGCGAAGUUCGUCCGCGGGACUCGGAAUGGCACCAGACUUGGCGGGCGGCCUCCGUGUGCCAAAAAUAGGCCACGGGCACAAUCGCGCCCAAAAAACAGCCCCCGAAGUUCGGGGUCCCAAGACCCCCCAGCGGAAAAAUGGCCAAAAAACGGGUGGGCUAUAGCCUUGGUGGGGGGCGUGGGCGAAGUUCGUCCGCGGGACUCGGAAUGGCACCAGACUUGGCGGGCGGCCUCCGUGUGCCAAAAAUAGGCCACGGGCACAGCCGCGCCAAAAAAACAGCCCCCGAAGUUCGGGGUCCCAAGACCCCCCAGCGGAAAAAUGGCCAAAAAACGGGUGGGCUAUAGCCUUGGUGGGGGGCGUGGGCGAAGUUCGUCCGCGGGACUCGGAAUGGCACCAGACUUGGCGGGCGGCCUCCGUGUGCCAAAAAUAGGCCACGGGCACAGCCGCGCCCAAAAAACAGCCCCCGAAGUUCGGGGUCCCAAGACCCCCUAGCGGAAAAAUGGCCAAAAAACGGGUGGGCUAUAGCCUUGGUGGGGGGCGUGGGCGAAGUUCGUCCGCGGGACUCGGAAUGGCACCAGACUUGGCGGGCGGCCUCCGUGUGCCAAAAAUAGGCCACGGGCACAGCCGCGCCCAAAAAACAACCCCCGAAGUUCGGGGUCCCAAGACCCCCCAGCGGAAAAAUGGCCAAAAAACGGUGGGCUAUAGCCUUGGUGGGGUGCGUGGGCGAAGUUCGUCCGCGGGACUCGGAAUGGCACCAGACUUGGCGGGCGGCCUCCGUGUGCCAAAAAUAGGCCACGGGCACAGCCGCGCCCAAAAAACAACCCCCGAAGUUCGGGGUCCCAAGACCCCCCAGCGGAAAAAUGGCCAAAAAACGGUGGGCUAUAGCCUUGGUGGGGUGCGUGGGCGAAGUUCGUCCGCGGGACUCGGAAUGGCACCAGACUUGGCGGGCGGCCUCCGUGUGCCAAAAAUAGGCCACGGGCACAGCCGCGCCCAAAAAACAGACCCCGAAGUUCGGGGUCCCAAGACCCCCCAGCGGAAAAAUGGCCAAAAAACGGUGGGCUAUAGCCUUGGUGGGGGGCGUGGGCGAAGUUCGUCCGCGGGACUCGGAAUGGCACCAGACUUGGCGGGCGGCCUCCGUGUGCCAAAAAUAGGCCACGGGCACAGCCGCGCCCAAAAAACAGCCCCCGAAGUUCGGGGUCCCAAGACCCCCCAGCGGAAAAAUGGCCAAAAAACGGGUGGGCUAUAGCCUUGGUGGGGGGCGUGGGCGAAGUUCGUCCGCGGGACUCGGAAUGGCACCAGACUUGGCGGGCGGCCUCGGUGUGCCAAAAAUAGGCCACGGGCACAGCCGCGCCCAAAAAACAGCCCCCGAAGUUGGGGGUCCCAAGACCCCCCAGCGGAAAAAUGGCAAAAAAACGGUGGGCUAUAGCCUUGGUGGGGGGCGUGGGCGAAGUUCGUCCGUGGGACUCGGAAUGGCACAAGACUUGGCGGGCGGCCUCCAUGUGCCAAAAAUAGGCCACGGGCACAGCCGCGCCCAAAAAACAGCCCCCGAAGUUCGGGUCCCAAGACCCCCCAGCGGAAAAAUGGCCAAAAAACGGGUGGGCUAUAGCCUUGGUGGGGGGCGUGGGCGAAGUUCGUCCGCGGGACUCGGAAUGGCACCAGACUUGGCGGGCGGCCUCCGUGUGCCAAAAAUAGGCCACGGGCACAGCCGCGCCCAAAAAACAGCCCCCGAAGUUCGGGGUCCCAAGACGCCCCAGCGGAAAAAUGGCCAAAAAACGGGUGGGCUAUAGCCUUGGUGGGGGGCGUGGGCGAAGUUCGUCCGCGGGACUCGGAAUGGCACCAGACUUGGCGGGCGGCCUCCGUGUGCCAAAAAUAGGCCACGGGCACAGCCGCGCCCAAAAAACAGCCCCCGAAGUUCGGGGUCCCAAGACCCCCCAGCGGAAAAAUGGCCAAAAAACGGGUGGGCUAUAGCCUUGGUGGGGGGCGUGGGCGAAGUUCGUCCGCGGGACUCGGAAUGGCACCAGACUUGGCGGGCGGCCUCCGUGUGCCAAAAAUAGGCCACGGGCACAGCCGCGCCCAAAAAACAGCCCCCGAAGUUCGGGGUCCCAAGACCCCCCAGCGGAAAAAUGGCCAAAAAACGGGUGGGCUAUAGCCUUGGUGGGGGGCGUGGGCGAAGUUCGUCCGCGGGACUCGGAAUGGCACCAGACUUGGCGGGCGGCCUCCGUGUGCCAAAAAUAGGCCACGGGCACAGCCGCGCCCAAAAAACAGCCCCCGAAGUUCGGGGUCCCAAGACCCCCCAGCGGAAAAAUGGCCAAAAAACGGUGGGCUAAAGCCUUGGUGGGGGGCGUGGGCGAAGUUCGUCCGUGGGACUCGGAAUGGCACAAGACUUGGCGGGCGGCCUCCAUGUGCCAAAAAUAGGCCACGGGCACAGCCGCGCCCAAAAAACAGCCCCCGAAGUUCGAGGUCCCAAGACCCGCCAGCGGAAAAAUGGCCAAAAAACGGGUGGGCUAUAGCCUUGGUGGGGGGCGUGGGCGAAGUUCGUCCGCGGGACUCGGAAUGGCACCAGACUUGGCGGGCGGCCUCCGUGUGCCAAAAAUAGGCCACGGGCACAGCCGCGCCCAAAAAACAGCCCCCGAAGUUCGGGGUCCCAAGACCCCCCAGCGGAAAAAUGGCCAAAAAACGGUGGGCUAUAGCCUUGGUGGGGGGCGUGGGCGAAGUUCGUCCGCGGGACUCGGAAUGGCACCAGACUUGGCGGGCGGCCUCCGUGUGCCAAAAAUAGGC